rnacentral:rRNA from 1 species
GUCUUUUUGUGGUUAAUUUAAAGUCUAACCUGCCCAUUGAAUAAUUUUAAAAGGCUGCGGUAUUUUGACCGUACAAAGGUAGCAUAAUCAUUAGUUUUUUAAUUGGAAACUAGUAUGAAUGGUUGAAUGAGAUGUUAACUUUUUUAAUAAGAAUUAUAGAAUUUUACUUUUUAGUUAAAAGGCUAAAAUAAGUUUAAAAGACGAGAAGACCCUAUAGAGUUUAAUAAUAGAUUUUAUUUUUUGAAUAAAGUUGAUUAAUUAUUAGAUAAUUAAAAUUAUUUUGUUGGGGUGAUAGUAAAAUUUAAAAAACUUUUAUUAAUUAUUUACAUUAAUAAAUGGUUAAUUGAUCCGUUAUUGACGAUUAUAAAUUUAAAUUACCUUAGGGAUAACAGCGUAAUUUUUUUUUAAGUUCAUAUUAAUAAAAAAUUUUGCGACCUCGAUGUUGGAUUAAGGGUUAACUUUAGGUGCAGCAGUUUAAAAUUUAAGUCUGUUCGACUUUUAAAUCCUU